AGUGCAGUUUCGCGAGAACGAAUGGGCAGCAGAAGACCAGCCCACUUGUGAGUCAGAAGGGCUCUGCGUGGUCCAUUAAAAUGACAGGUUGAGUUUGUCCACGUCAACACCGAAAUACACUAUCAUGGACUUUAUGGCUCUGGAACCAUCUCUGUACACGGUGAAAGCUGUUUUAAUUUUGGACAAUGAUGGAAAUAGACUCUUAUCAAAGUACUAUGACACUGCACUGUACCCUUCAAUGAAGGAACAGAAAAACUUUGAGAAGAGCGUGUUUAACAAAUCCCACAAAGCUGACAAUGAGAUAGCAUUCUUGGAGGGCUUAACUAUUGUAUAUAAGAGUAGUGUUGACCUCUUCUUCUACGUGGUGGGGAGUGCCCAGGAAAAUGAGCUCAUGUUGAUGAUGGUUUUAAAUUGCCUAUUUGAUACGCUCAGUCAGAUCCUGCGAAAGAAUGUGGAAAAGAGGUUUCUUUUAGACAACCUGGAUGGUGUGUUCCUUGUGGUGGAUGAAAUCAUUGAUGGAGGGAUAAUCUUGGAGAGUGACCCACAGCAAGUCAUUCAGAAGGUCAAUUACAGAACUGUUUCCGAUCCAGCCUAUGGGUUUGUCCUCUUUGAUUACAUCACUGGUAACACUGAGGGUCAAGGGGACAAGAGCCAGAAUGCAUAGCCAAUGAGAGGCAACGAGAAAAGAGAGGGGAGGGUAGAGCAGGUGGACGAAAGCCCUUUGUCAGAGCAAAGUGUAGCUCAGGUGUUGCAGUCGGCGAAGGAACAAAUCAAAUGGUCGAUACUGAAGUAAACGUGGAACAGAAGUGGCUCUACUUCGUCGUGCAAUAAAAAUGUGUGUGCCUUCGCUUUUAUGUGCAUUUAUUGGGGCUGCAUAUGUUUUUCAUAUUCUAAUAUAUAACCGAGCAGCAAAGACAGAUUUAUUGAAGCAAGCUAUACACACACACAAAAUACAAAUUUCUGUGUUCCAGUCACAGGUUCAGCUGUUUCUUGUGAUUUUUUCCCCAUUCAUUUUUUACGCCAAAACUGUUACAGUCAGAUAACCGAAUGUUACACACAACUAGCCUAAUUCGAUUGUGUAUGUUCAAAUAAACUACCUUAUUAGCAUCACUAACGGAGUGCUGAUCAGAACAUUUCAUAAAUUUUCAUGAAAUUUAUAUAAAUUUCAUUUAUAUAUCUCCAUUUUCUACUUUUAGAAUUUUUUAACUAAAAAACAAGCAAAUAUUGAGUGUCAGACAAUAUUUGUUAGAUGCUUAGAGAAUCGCAUAUAGACCACGCAUUAACGUAACAGUGAUUGUUUUUUCCAUAAGGUUAUGAGGUCUUCUUUGGGGGUAAUUUAAAAUUUGAUAGCUUUAAAUAAAGGGGUUUUCUUGUAAAUGCAACCGAUUUCAUAUGUAGUUGUCGGUGUAUUUUUGCCUUGGUUUCCGUGAAAACGUAAUAAAGAGUGGUUUAUACCUAAAA